rnacentral:rRNA from 1 species
AUACCCCACUAUGCCUAAGCACAACUAAGACUAACCGUCCGCCAGAAAAUUACGAGCGAAAGCCUAAAAAUCAAAAGACUUGACGGUGUCCCAACCUUCCUAGAGGAGCCUGUUCCAUAAUCGACAACCCACGAUAUACCUAACCACCCUUAGAAAUACAGCCUAUAUACCGCCGUCGCACAGCUCACCUUUUAAAAGAAUACAAGUAAGCCAAAUAGUAAAAUACUAAUAAGUCAGGUCAAGGUGUAGCUUAUAGGGUGGAGGAAAUGGGCUACAUUAUUUACAUUAAAAUAUACGAACUUAUAUAUCUGAAAAAGAAAAUGAAGGCGGAUUUAGCAGUAAUUUAAACAAGAAUAUUUAAAUUAAUACCAGCUCUGGGACACGUACACACCGCCCGU